rnacentral:rRNA from 1 species
UGUCGUCAGCUCGUGUUGUGAAAUGUUGGGUUAAGUCCCGCAACGAGCGCAACCCUUAUCCUUGUUUGCCAGCGAGUAAUGUCGGGAACUCCAGGGAGACUGCCGGUGAUAAACCGGAGGAAGGUGGGGACGACGUCAAGUCAUCAUGGCCCUUACGAGUAGGGCUACACACGUGCUACAAUGGCGCAUACAGAGGGCAGCCAACUUGCGAAAGUGAGCGAAUCCCAAAAAGUGCGUCGUAGUCCGGAUUGGAGUCUGCAACUCGACUCCAUGAAGUCGGAAUCGCUAGUAAUCGUGGAUCAGAAUGCCACGGUGAAUACGUUCCCGGGCCUUGUACACACCGCCCGUCACACCAUGGGAGUGGGCUGCAAAAGAAGUAGGUAGUUUAACCUUCGGGGGGACGCUUACCACUUUGUGGUUCAUGACUGGGGUGAAGUCGUAACAAGGUAGCGCUAGGGGAACCUGGCGCUGGAUCACCUCCUUAAACGAUGAU